rnacentral:rRNA from 1 species
CCUACGGGUGGCAGCAGUGGGGAAUAUUGGGCAAUGGGCGCAAGCCUGACCCAGCAACGCCGCGUGAAGGAAGAAGGCUUUCGGGUUGUAAACUUCUUUUGACAGGGAAGAGUAGAUGACGGUACCUGUCGAAUAAGCCCCGGCUAACUACGUGCCAGCAGCCGCGGUAAUACGUAGGUGGCAAGCGUUGUCCGGAUUUACUGGGUGUAAAGGGAGAGUAGCCGGGUUGGCAAGUCAGGAGUGAAAGCCUGGGGCUGAACCGCCGAACUGCAUUGGAAACUGUUGAUCUUGAGUACUGGAGAGGCAGACGGAAUUCCUAGUGUAGCGGUGAAAUGCGUAGAUAUUAGGAGGAACACCAGUGGCGAAGGCGGUCUGCUGGACAGCAACUGACGGUGAGGCGCGAAAGCGUGGGGAGCAAACAGGAUUAGAUACCCCUGUAGUC